GACGAACGCUGGCGGCGUGCUUAACACAUGCAAGUCGAACGGCAAGGCCCUGCUUUUGUGGGGUUCUCGAGUGGCGAACGGGUGAGUAACACGUGAGUAACCUGCCCUUGACUUUGGGAUAACUUCAGGAAACUGGGGCUACUACCGUAUAGCAGCUCCUGCUGCAUGGUGGGGGUUGGAAAGUUUCGGCGGUUGGGGAUGGACUCGCGGCUUAUCAGCUUGCUGGUGGGGUAGUGGCUUACCAAGGCUUUGACGGGUAGCCGGCCUGAGAGGGUGACCGGCGACAUUGGGCCUACGAGACGGACCAGAGGGCAACGGGAGGCAGCGGUGGGGAACAUUGCACAGUGAGAGGACGCCGGAUGAGGCAACCCUGCGUGCGGGAUGACGGUCUGCGGGGUGAAAACCGCUUUCGCUUGAGACGAAGCGUGAGUGACGGUAAUGGAUAAAGAAGCACCGGCUAACUACGUG
rnacentral:rRNA from 1 species